rnacentral:rRNA from 1 species
UACUCCUACGGGAGGCAGCAGUGGGGAAUAUUGCACAAUGGGGGAAACCCUGAUGCAGCCAUGCCGCGUGUGUGAAGAAGGCCUUCGGGUUGUAAAGCACUUUCAGUAGGGGGGAAGGUAGUGUAGUUAACACCUGCACUAUUUGACGUUACCUACAGAAGAAGCACCGGCUAACUCCGUGCCAGCAGCCGCGGUAAU